CAGCAAUGAGCCCACUCUAGUGUUAAAAUUUAAUUGUUACACUAUGUUAGAAGAUCUUUUGCACAAGUCUUCCCUCAUUUACGUGUUCCACAAGCUCAUUUGUAACAUAGUAAGUUCUAGGAAACAUUUUAGAACAAUGCUGAAUUUGGUGACUGGGAUGCCGGGCUGGGGUCCAAACCCCAUUUAAUCUAUGAUAUAACCAGAAUGUAGCGUAGUGUUACUGGUAUGUCUGGCUCAUACCCCGUGAGUGCUUUGUAGGAAGGCACACCAAGUCCAAGGGAGACUGCCAGGGGCACAUCUCCUGGUAGCCAUCCGUGGGUUCUGAGGCUCCUCCACCUCCCCAGAAGCGGUGGGGCUUCUCAUCGCUACCCUCAGAAUACCUCGUCUAGGCCAGUAUGCUGUCAUCCUUUUUUGGGAGUCCCAGAGAUAAAUCUACCUGCCUUCUUUCCACUUUGACAGCUUUACCUGAUCCAUGGAAAGACUAAAGACAAUUUCUCAGCUCCUCCUGUUCUCUCCCUGAAGCAACUCUUUGUGGUUUUCCAGUGGAUUGAAGGCUGAACUGUAACGGAUAGAGGCCCUAGGCAGGCUGAUUUGAUACCUGUUUAUCAUGAUAAUCCUUAAAUUUGUUUUUUUUUUUUUUUUUUUCUGAGAGGCUACACCUUGUAUAUCCACCUGAGGAAUCCGAAGCCCAACACCCAUCCUUAGAGGCAGCUGAGCAACCAGUUACUGGAGCAGGGCCCUUGGUGGGGAGGGGGACAGGGGAAAGGAAGGUGGUCAUUUUCCUCGCCUCUAAAUGCCUCAUUAAACAAUCUUUUCAUUGUAAUGCUCUCCCAGGGUUUCAAAGUCAACGUUCAUUUCAUUAUGAUUUCCAUUUCCUUAUGAUUCCAUCAGUUUUAUGGCAUGUUUUAUCUUAAUUCUGCUGUAGGAAGCACCAAGGUAAACUAGGUAAACGUUUGCCCUGUCUUGCUUUUCAUUCUUAACUGGGGGAAGAUGCAAAUAUAGAAAAGAAUGAGUAUAACUAAUCAGGAAAAUAUAUUCUGUUUUCUUCUGGACAUUUAUGAGUUGGGAAAGAUCCUGAUGAGAAAAGAGAUCUUCUGCUUUCCUGCUUCCCUGUCAAACUGUCCCUUGAGUGAAAUAGGAAGCAAGGAUAGGUGGGAUGGCAUGGGGCAGGCUGGGGAAGAGGAACGCCCACUGCCCAGGAGAGGCCUUGGUCCUGGGGGAUUCUCCCUGUGUGUGGUCAUUUCUUAAAGACUGCAGUGCUGUAGCUCCCCAAAACUUUCAGGAAAUAAGAUCACUCUGUGUGAUUCAAAUUGACAAAAUAGUAGAGAAGGAACCAAAGUAGGAGAUGGGUACCUUAAAGCUGAGGUUAAACUCUGCUGGCUUAGCCAGAUCAGUCUGACAUGUUUUAUUUGGCCUGCAGAGAGUUAAAAAAUGUUUUUUGAAUAGAUGAUAUUUUAUGUCUACGUGAUUUCCCACCAAAAAUACAGACUUUUGGCUCCUUGAAAAAUCCCAG
rnacentral:lncRNA from 1 species